rnacentral:tRNA from 1 species
AGGCCUAAGAAUACCCUAGAGUGCAAAUUUAGGUAAGAAAGUAAUUUUUCAUAGGCCUA